rnacentral:rRNA from 1 species
GGGCCCGCACAAGCAGUGGAGCAUGUGGUUUAAUUCGAAGCAACGCGCAGAACCUUACCAACCCUUGACAUCCUGUGCUACAUCCAGAGAUGGUUUCCUUCAGUUCGGCUGGAUCAGUGACAGGUGCUGCAUGGCUGUCGUCAGCUCGUGUCGUGAGAUGUUCGGUUAAGUCCGGCAACGAGCGCAACCCACAUUCUUAGUUGCCAGCAGUUCGGCUGGGCACUCUAUGGAAACUGCCCGUGAUAAGCGGGAGGAAGGUGUGGAUGACGUCAAGUCCUCAUGGCCCUUACGGGUUGGGCUACACACGUGCUACAAUGGUAGUGACAAUGGGUUAAUCCCAAAAAGCUAUCUCAGUUCGGAUUGUCGUCUGCAACUCGACGGCAUG